CCUACGGGUGGCAGCAGUGGGGAAUAUUGCACAAUGGGGGAAACCCUGAUGCAGCGACGCCGCGUGAGUGAAGAAGUAAUUCGUUAUGUAAAGCUCUAUCAGCAGGGAAGAAAAUGACGGUACCUGAGUAAGAAGCCCCGGCUAACUACGUGCCAGCAGCCGCGGUAAUACGUAGGGGGCAAGCGUUAUCCGGAUUUACUGGGUGUAAAGGGAGCGUAGACGGGAGUGCAAGUCUGAAGUGAAAGGCCGGAGCUCAACCUCCGGACUGCUUUGGAAACUGUACGUCUAGAGUGCAGGAGAGGUAAGUGGAAUUCCUAGUGUAGCGGUGAAAUGCGUAGAUAUUAGGAGGAACACCAGUGGCGAAGGCGGCUUACUGGACUGUAAAUGACGUUGAGGCUCGAAAGCGUGGGGAGCAAACAGGAUUAGAUACCCUAGUAGUC
rnacentral:rRNA from 1 species